rnacentral:rRNA from 1 species
AGCUCCAAUAGCGUAUAUUAAAGUUGUUGCAGUUAAAAAGCUCGUAGUUGGAUUUCUGUCACUUGCAACUGGUUCGUCUUAAUUGAUGCUAUUCAGAAUGCUGUGGCAUUUUUCUGUCAUGUAGGCUGUGCUUAAUUGUUCAGUUUGCGCUGGCAGAUCUUUUACUUUGAGUAAAUUAGAGUGUUUCAAGCAAGUUAUCGCUUUGAAUACUGCAGCAUGGAAUAAUAAUAUAGGACUUUGGUUCUAUUUUGUUGGUUUCUAGAGCCUGAGUAAUGAUUAAUAGGGAUAGUUGGGGGCAUUCGUAUUUAACAGUCAGAGGUGAAAUUCUUAGAUUUGUUAAAGACGAGCUACUGCGAAAGCAUUUGCCAAGGAUGUUUUCAUUAAUCAAGAACGAAAGUAG